GGGGGGGGGGGGGUGUGGCGUGGUUAGCGAAGCCUCGAACGUAUGAACUCCAGGUUCAUUAUGCGCAACAAGCUUAUCUUGGCUAUUCAAGAUGCGUACGAAAUUCGUCCGUUAUCUGCUCCGAGAAAGGGCCACGAACCACACUAAUGAAUUCAGGGCAGCUUCCGCUGCACGACGUUUCGCCUACUGCUGCCUACAAGAAGCCACAGUCUUCGUUUUUUAUCACCAGUGACAGAAUAUAGUGCGCCCAAGAACUAGUUUUUUUUAUUAAUAUUAAGAUUCUCUUUGUUAUCUCUGUACAUAUGGCGCUGUUCGGCUGAGCACGAGAUCGAGGCUUCGAUUCCCGGCCGCGACGGUCGCAUUCUGAUGGGCGCGGAAUGCCAAAAAGCUCGCGCGUCGUAUUUUUUGGGUGCACAGUUAAGAAUCCCAGGGAGUUAAACUUAGUCCAAAGCCCUCCACUGCGGUCUUUCCCGUAACGUAUCUCACUUUGCAGCCUCGGGAGGUUAAACCCCAUAAUUCCAUUUACCUUUAUCAAAGUUAUCUUUUACUGUUUGUUUGUUUGUUCGUUCGUUUUACUUCAGCAUUUAGAGCUGUCUGCCUUUGAGCAUUCUGGCUUCCUGCUGUGCAUAGAAUAACUAAAGUUUCGCCUACUAUGUCAAACAUCUGAUUUAAUAGAAAUGUCGCAGUUUCGCCCGAAAGGCGAAGCAUCGAUUGUGAUAGCAAAUUAUUAGACAGCUAUACGAAGUAAGUAUAGCAGCCUUAUCGGCCGUUAUAUACUUGUAAACAUUCACUCACUAACUAAAUUAACAAGCAUGGUGUCACGCGCGCACAUGCAAACAUGAACACGCUCGAUGACUGCGUGAGGAAGAGUGGCAACAACAGCGAGGGAAGUGCCCUUCGUGCUGCCUCACGCUUUAACGCCAACAAAAUGCCGAGACCACAGCACACACGAAGUUAUUAGCCCUCAGCGCGCCUAACUCUAUUGGGGACGUGCUCCACCACUGGAAAAGCUGGCGCCACCGUCGGCGUAACGUGACAUGAGGGAUCACGUGGACACAGCGGCCGCGUCGGCUGCUUCGGAAGCGCCGAAGCGAGCUGAAAACGAAAGUUUAAAGUCCCACCUGCGCUGCGGUUCUCAAUAAGUGGUGAGGCUGUACCGCCUUGGGUGUCUGCUUGACAACAUUUGAAAGUACUAUAAUACGUAGUGGCUGCCUAUGGAGGCGUGCAGCAUGGUAGGCUACUGCUCGGUGGCGCAGUGCCGGACGUACGCAACGGAGCCCGGUGUCAGCCUUAUUCACACGUAUACAGCCGCAGGACAAGGAGCUGCGUGAAGCUUGGCUCGCGAAACUUAGAACUGGCAGGCAGCCAUCGGCUACAACUCGGGUAUGCAGCAAGCACAGACGCGAGGAAGAUUUCUGCUACGGCGCCGGGACUGCACGACGUUCGGUGAGUAGCAGAAAACGCGCACUGAGACGCUCGCCCGUGCCCGCUACCCGGCUAAUGUCAUGACGGUUUGGUCUAUGAACUUGUCGAUUCUAGGUACUGGCAAAUUCCAUGGAACGGAAAGGGAGCGGUAAGAAGCACAUUAAAAAAAGGCGUGGCAUAUAGUCAUGUUUGUGUUAUGGAUUAAUGCACUGGAUUACGAAAAAGAAGCAGAAGGAAAUCGCAUGCUGAGAAGACAGAUAAGCAUACAGUGCGACGCAAUUUGAGAAAUAAUAUUGAAAUGUCCAAGAAUUUAGAAGGCAAAAAAGAUUGAAUCGUCGCGCCGGCACAUCACAGUCGCCAUAGGCGUCGAAGUCUCUAUAACGAAAUUAUUUUUGAACAGUUCUGAUAGCGUCCAUGCAACAAUGGUUGCUAUUGUAUUGUCAAACGCUCAUAUGCUGCGGCCUGAAGCUCGCGGCACGGUGCGAAAACGAGGUCACAGCGAAAGCAAAACAUUGUGCGCGGACAUGCUUGCAGGCGCGAAUUCGGUCGCUGCGAACCCGUGCGAUCGCUGCAUUGAGGCUUCAUUCUGUUUGCUCCAUUUUGGUUAUACAGAAAGCUCACUAUAAAAACACAUUUCACAUAUUUUACUCUCAGCGUUUGCCUACCUUUCACGCAAGAAGCCGGUUUGGGAGACUCCAUCGCGGCGACCGCGCGCAGUGGCGCUCACUACUAGAAUUCGGAGCCGUUCCCCGGAGCCGUCAUUUUUCGCGACGCUGGCGAGCAUUGGCUACGGACUGCGGGCACCGCGAAUAGCUGCUCUCGCGGAAGCAGGAGCGGUGGCAAUGAAUUGUUCUCCAAGCGGACCGUUGACGCUUAAAAUGGAAAUGACAAGGUAAAGAAAAAUGAAAGCGGACGACGAAAAGGCAUCUUGCCGCCGGUGGGAGCUGAAACCAACCCAUCCUCAAGAUGUAGCACAUCCUUUUGACCGCCGGCGUCACGUAGUUAAGAAAACCAGAAGAAAACCUAUGUAAUCCUACUCGAUACCGGCUGCCACUGUUUUUCAAGCCUGAUUCUCAGAAAACCCGAGGAAAAUGGAACGUAAUGACUACAGGCAAAAAAAAAAAAAAUCAUUGAGAUUCAGAACGUACAGUGACUGAAAUAAGAAUGCAGAAGUGAACUCCUACGGGGAAAAAUAAAGAAAUUCA